AUGUCUUCACCGCCGCCCAACCCGUCUCUUCCGCUGCCGGUCACCUCGUCGCCUCCGGCGACCACCACGACCGUCGCCCCGCUCCUGCCCGUGCCGGGAUCCUCCGUCGCGCCCGCCCCCGCCGUCCUCACCCCGGAGGAGGUGUCCGGAGCGCUGCGGGACCUAACCCAGGCAGUCCAGGAGAUCCGCCUGUUCUUGGCCGGGUCCUACGGGCCGCACCCAGCUGCGCCGCCGUGGCUGCCGCCGCACCAGGCGGCCUCCUCCGUGCUCGCCGGGUCGCACCCGGUUGCGCUGCCCAUCGCCGCCACCCUGCCGUCGUGGCUGUCGUGGCUGCCGCCGCACCAAGCGGCCUCCACCGCGCUCGCCGGGUCGCACCCGGCUGCGCCGCCCAUCGCCGCCACCGCGCCGCCGUGGCUGCCGUGGCAGCCGCCGCACAAGGCGGAGGCCGCGCUCGCCGGGCCGCUGCAGCUGCCAUCCACCGCCACCAACGCCCCGCCCUGGCUGCAGUGGCAACCGCCGCUCCUGGCGGCCUCCGCCACGACCGCUGCAGCUGCAGCAGCCACCGCCCAUCAGCUCCGGCCGCGCAUCGACCGCGCCGGCGGUUCUCUUCGGUUGGUAUAA
rnacentral:rRNA from 1 species